GACGAACGCUGGCGGCGUGCUUAACACAUGCAAGUCGAACGAAGAGCGACGGAAGCUUGCUUCUAUCAAUCUUAGUGGCGCACGGGUGAGUAACGCGUAAUCAACCUGCCCUUCAGAGGGGGACAACAGUUGGAAACGACUGCUAAUACCGCAUACGAUCUAAUCUCGGCAUCGAGGAUGGAUGAAAGGUGGCCUCUACAUGUAAGCUAUCACUGAAGGAGGGGAUUGCGUCUGAUUAGCUAGUUGGAGGGGUAACGGCCCACCAAGGCGAUGAUCAGUAGCCGGUCUGAGAGGAUGAACGGCCACAUUGGGACUGAGACACGGCCCAGACUCCUACGGGAGGCAGCAGUGGGGAAUCUUCCGCAAUGGACGAAAGUCUGACGGAGCAACGCCGCGUGAGUGAUGACGGCCUUCGGGUUGUAAAGCUCUGUUAAUCGGGACGAAAGGCCUUCUUGCGAAUAGUGAGAAGGAUUGACGGUACCGGAAUAGAAAGCCACGGCUAACUACGUG
rnacentral:rRNA from 1 species